rnacentral:rRNA from 1 species
CCUANGGGUGGCAGCAGUCGAGAAUUUUUCACAAUGGGCGCAAGCCUGAUGGAGCGACGCCGCGUGGGGGAUGAAUGGCUUCGGCCCGUAAACCCCUGUCAUUUGCGAUCAACCGUUGUUGUUUAAGAGAUGACAACCUGAUAGUAGCGAAAGAGGAAGGGACGGCUAACUCUGUGCCAGCAGCCGCGGUAAUACAGAGGUCCCAAGCGUUGUUCGGAUUCACUGGGCGUAAAGGGUGCGUAGGUGGCGGGGUAAGUCGGAUGUGAAAUCUCCGAGCUCAACUCGGAAAUGGCAUUGGAAACUGCUCUGCUCGAGGGUUGGAGGGGGGACUGGAAUACUUGGUGUAGCAGUGAAAUGCGUAGAUAUCAAGUGGAACACCAGUGGCGAAGGCGAGUCCCUGGACAACUCCUGACACUGAGGCACGAAAGCUAGGGGAGCAAACAGGAUUAGAUACCCUGNUANUC